CUCGUGUGUGUGUGUGUGUGUGUGUGUGUGUGUGUGUGUGUGUGUGUGUGUGUGUGUGUGUGUGUGUGUGUGUGUGUGCGCGCGCGUUGCGGGGGUUGGGGCUACAGAAACGGUCUCUGUCGGGAAAGGACAGCUUGGACGGGGAGGGAGUUCCCUGCGUCUCGGCCGCGGGGGAGCAGCAGGCCGGCCAGGCGGGGAUGAAUCAGGGAUCUCCGUGGUCAAGAACCACACCCUCUGUAUCUGACUUGAUUCCUGCAAGGAUUUCUGUAGACCAUCCAAGAGCCUGAGGCCACGACCCUGACUGCUGGCCAGGAAGCCAACAGGAAGUCCAUGGCAGCAUGGUCAUUUCUUCACUCAGAUUUGUUACAGGCAAACAUCACUCCAAAAGUGUGCUAGGAUCUCAUGAGGCCCAGCUUUCACAGAACUCACUGUGUAGCCAAGGAUGAUCUUGAACUUCCAAUCUCCUGACUCUAUUUCCAGAGUGUUGGGAUCAUAGGCAUGUACCACCACAUGAUUUUUGGAAAACAGCAAUA
rnacentral:lncRNA from 1 species